rnacentral:rRNA from 1 species
UACGUGGGGUCCGAGCGUUGUCCGGAGUUACUGGGCGUAAAGGGCGCGCAGGCGGCGGCGUGGGUCCGGCGUGAAAGCCCCCGGCUCAACCGGGGAACGUCGUCGGGGACCGCGCCGCUUGAGGGCGGCAGGGGCCGGUGGAAUGCCUGGUGUAGUGGUGAAAUGCGUAGAGAUCAGGCGGAACACCCGUGGCGAAGGCGGCCGGCUGGGCCGUCCCUGACGCUGAGGCGCGAAGGCGUGGGGAGCGAACGGG